GACGAACGCUGGCGGCGUGCCUAACACAUGCAAGUCGAACGGAGUGUUUAUCUAUAAACACUUGGUGACGAACGGGUGAGUAACGCGUAGACAACCUACCCUCUAGAUUGGGACAACACCGCGAAAGUGGUGCUAAUACCGAAUGUUAUAUUAUUGUUGCAUAAUGAUAUUACUAAAGUUGGCCUCUAUAUAAAAGCUACCGCUAGAAGAUGGGUCUUCGUCUUAUUAGCUAGUUGGUGAGAUAACAGCUCACCAAGGCAAUGAUCAGUAGCCGGUCGGAGAGGAUGAACGGCCACACUGAUACUGAGACACGGCCCAGAAUCCUACGGGAGGCAGCAGUGUGGAAUCUUCCGCGAUGGACGAAAGUCUGACGGAGCAACGCCGCGUGAGUGAAGAAGGUUUUCGGAUCGUAAAGCUCUGUCUUCAAGGACGAAUGUAGAUAUUGUGAAUAAUGAUAUUUAAUGACGGUACUUGAGGAAGAAGCCACGGCUAACUACGUGCCAGCAGCCGCGGUAACAC
rnacentral:rRNA from 1 species